AAUGGGGGAAACCCUGAUGCAGCAACGCCGCGUGAGUGAUGAAGGUCUUCGGAUUGUAAAGCUCUGUCUUUAGGGACGAUAAUGACGGUACCUAAGGAGGAAGCCACGGCUAACUACGUGCCAGCAGCCGCGGUAAUACGUAGGUGGCAAGCGUUAUCCGGAUUUACUGGGCGUAAAGGGAGCGUAGGCGGAUAUUUAAGUGGGAUGUGAAAUACCCGAGCUUAACUUGGGAGCUGCAUUCCAAACUGGAUAUCUAGAGUGCAGGAGAGGAGAAUGGAAUUCCUAGUGUAGCGGUGAAAUGCGUAGAGAUUAGGAAGAACACCAGUGGCGAAGGCGAUUCUCUGGACUGUAACUGACGCUGAGGCUCGAAAGCGUGGGGAGCAAA
rnacentral:rRNA from 1 species